rnacentral:rRNA from 1 species
UACAGAGGUGGCAAGCGUUGUUCGGAAUUACUGGGCGUAAAGGGCGAGUAGGCGGCCUUCUAAGUCAGACGUGAAAUCCCCCGGCUUAACCUGGGAACUGCGUCUGAUACUGGGAGGCUCGAGUAUGGGAGAGGGAUGUAGAAUUCCAGGUGUAGCGGUGAAAUGCGUAGAUAUCUGGAGGAAUACCGGUGGCGAAGGCGGCAUCCUGGACCAUUACUGACGCUGAGGAGCGAAAGUGUGGGGAGCGAACAGG